rnacentral:rRNA from 1 species
UACGUAGGGGGGCAAGCGUUGUCCGGAAUUAUUGGGGCGUAAAGCGCGCGCAGGCGGCUUUGUAAGUUUGGUGUUUAAGGCUCGGAGCUCAACUCCGAUACGCAUCGAAAACUGCAAGGCUUGAGUGCAGAAGAGGAAAGUGGAAUUCCACGUGUAGCGGUGAAAUGCGUAGAGAUGUGGAGGAACACCAGUGGCGAAGGCGACUUUCUGGGCUGUAACUGACGCUGAGGCGCGAAAGCGUGGGGAGCAACAGG